rnacentral:misc_RNA from 1 species
UCUCCGUUGGUGAACCAGCGGAGGGAUCAUUACCGAGUUUACAACUCCCAAACCCCAUGUGAACCUUACCAAACGUUGCUUCGGCGGGAUGCCCCGGGCGCGGGCCGCAAGGCCUCAGCCCCGGAACCAGGCGCCCGCCGGAGGCCCAAACCAAACUCUUGUUUUUGUAGAAUCUUCUGAGUGGCCUUUUAGGCAAAAAAUGAAUCGAAACUUUCAACAACGGAUCUCUUGGUUCUG